AGUUCGGUAGUUCAGUUGGUGGAACGUCUGCUUAACACGCAGGUCGUCGGUCCAAGUCUGGAUCGGAUGA